AUUGAACGCUGGCGGCAUGCCUUACACAUGCAAGUCGAACGGUAACAGGUCUUCGGAUGCUGACGAGUGGCGAACGGGUGAGUAAUACAUCGGAACGUGCCCGAUCGUGGGGGAUAACGAAGCGAAAGCUUUGCUAAUACCGCAUAAGAUCUACGGAUGAAAGCAGGGGACCGCAAGGCCUUGCGCGAACGGAGCGGCCGAUGGCAGAUUAGGUAGUUGGUGGGAUAAAAGCUUACCAAGCCGCCGAUCUGUAGCUGGUCUGAGAGGACGACCAGCCACACGGGGACUGAGAAACGGCCCAGACUCCUACGGGAGGCAGCAGUGGGGAAUUUUGGACAAUGGGCGAAAGCCUGAUCCAGCCAGGCCGCGUGCAGGAUGAAGGCCUUCGGGUUGUAAACUGCUUUUGUACGGAACGAAAAGACUCUUUCUAAUAAAGAGGGUCCAUGACGGUACCGUAAGAAUAAGCACCGGCUAACUACGUGCCAGCCGCCGCAGUAACAC
rnacentral:rRNA from 1 species